rnacentral:rRNA from 1 species
CUAUUGGAGAGUUUGAUCCUGGCUCAGGACGAACGCUGGCGGCGUGCAUAACACAUGCAAGUCACGGGGGUCAGUAGCAAUACUGAUAACCGGCGAACGGGUGCGUAACACGUAAGCGACCUACCUCGAUGUGGGGCAUAGCCGGCCUAACGGCCGGGUAAUUCCGCAUGUGAUCCCGGAGGGGCAUAUCUCUGGGAUGAAACCAGUAAUGGGCAUUGAGAGGGGCUUGCGGCCUAUCAGCUAGUUGGCGGGGUAACGGCUCACCAAGGCGACGACGGGUAGCUGGUCUGAGAGGAUGGCCAGCCACAUUGGGACUGAGAAACGGCCCAGACUCCUACGGGAGGCAGCAGUGGGGAAUCUUGCGC